AACGAACGCUGGCAGAGUGCAUAACACAUGCAAGUCGAGCGAGAUACGCUGAGAUUACAUCAAAUGGGUGUCUAGCGGCAGACGAGUGAGUAACACGUAAACAACCUGCCCUUGAAUGGCGAACAACCAGCCGAAAGGUUGGCUAAUACGCCGUAACGUCACUGAAAGGCAUCUUUUGGUGAUUAUAGGCCCGCAAGGGUCGUUCGAGGAGGGGUUGUCGGCCCACUCAGCUAGUUGGCGGUGUAACGGACCACCAAGGCUAUGACGGGUACCGGGCGUGAAGGACCGGACGGGCGACGAUGGCGACUGAGACACGGG
rnacentral:rRNA from 1 species